GCGACAGUUGACUCGACAUUCUACCAACUCGUUCAAGAAACUCGAUCGUUAUAAACGGCACUAAUUGUUACGAGAUUUGAAAAAUUCGAAUAAGCAAUGAAAUCGCUACGAUCAUACAUCAUUCUCAUGGCCCUGCUCUGGGCAAAACCAAUUGGUGUGAUGUCUUCGAAAAUGUAUUCGUUUACUGCAGCCUUCGGAAAAGAGUCAGCAAACAAGACCAUUCCACAAAAAGAUAUUGACAUCUUUCUCAAUCAAGAAGUACGUUCUCGAUUUGACAGUUUUACGUUAAUAGAAACAACUGGAUGGUGGAAAGAACGAAGGGAAAAGUCUUUCAUGUUACUUGUUUUGGACAGCAAUUUAACAGCAGCAAAGAAGAAAAUAAGCGACAUAGCUUUCUUAUACAAGAAAAGAUUUUCGCAAGAAUCGGUAUUAAUGUUUUACUCCAGAGUAACCGCGUAUUUCUUGUAGAAUUUCUUCAAACUGAACACAUUUUGAUACUCAAAUAUUGUGAAAACAAACAAGUUGAAUAGCAUUUCAGCAUAAAAAAAUAAAAUUAGAUUGUGGGAUGGACAAAUUUCGAUCAAUUAACUUUGAUGCAUGCAUAAAGCGAUUUCUUAUGAUAUAUUGCACAUAUAAUAAUCACAGUUGCUAAGUAAAAGAUUAAACUCUGACGAUUAACAGUAAAA